UACGAAGGGGGCUAGCGUUGCUCGGAAUCACUGGGCGUAAAGCGCACGUAGGCGGCUUUUUAAGUCAGGGGUGAAAUCCUGGAGCUCAACUCCAGAACUGCCUUUGAUAACUGGGAGCUUGAGUCCGGAAGAGGUGAGUGGAACUCCGAGUGUAGAGGUGAAAUUCGUAGAUAUUCGGAAGAAACACCAGUGGCGAAGGCGGCUCACUGGUCCGGUACUGACGCUGAGGUGCGAAAAGCGUGGGGAGCAACAGGG
rnacentral:rRNA from 1 species